UGGUUUCCCUCUCGUUGCCUGAUGAGAAGGGGUCGCUCCACCAGUUUUUAGUUGUUUUUUUUUUCCUGAGGACAUUGUUCCAUACAUAGCUGUAGGCUUGGUGUGUCCGUGGGAUGAGGUCAGUUCAGGAUCUUCCCCUGCACCGACAUCUUGACCAGGAAUCUCUGAAAAUCUUAAAAGGAACCAGAGCUUCUGAAUCAACAAACCUACAGGAGCCAAGAGGAGAUACCUGUACGGAGAGCUCCGGAGGCAUUUCCAUAGGCUCAUUGUCAAGUAAAUGUUAAAGCCCCCAUUCACUGGGAAGCAAAGUUCCAUUAUCUUGCUUUUGAAUCAUGGAAAGUGAACAACUGUGGGACAGGCGGCCUUAUUUACAUAGAGAAGUGUUCGAUUCUGAACAGUGAUGUGAGAAUGACUACAAUUUGAAAUAUCUGUUAAAUACAGCAACAUGACAUCACAAGGAUUGCUUUGGGAUCUUCUGCAUAUGAGAGAGAUUAAAAAGAUGAAACAGUAGGACUGGAAUAUGAGGGGAGAAAUAGAGAAAAACCUGGUUUCCAGCCUCUUUUAUGGGAGAAUGAUUUAUAUGUUUGCUUGACAGAAAUGGGAUUAUUUUAAGAGAUUAACACA